rnacentral:lncRNA from 1 species
GGCUGACACAUUUUACAUCUCUAGGAUAUGAUUUUAUACUUAUUGGGCGAUUAUAUUAUUAUUUAUGUUUAUGUGUCUAUGAAUCAUCCAAGGGAUUAACAAGAUGAUGACACAUAUUCUCAAAGAAUUGAGAAUUUGAGACGUGUCAUUGAUGGUUAAUUCCUAAAUUGCUCCUGAUCAUAGGAUCAUCAUGGAGAUGGUGAUUGAUCCGGAUAGACUAGUGCAC